CGCAACAUUAAAAUAAUUUUCCCUUUAUUGCUUUGGUGUAAUUAAACUUGCACCAUACAAUUUUUCUAUGAAGUUCACAAACCUCACACUUUAGUCUUCCACAAGCUCUUUCAAAAUAAGGAAACUAAGGGAAGUUUGUGGAUGACACUAAAUUAGGAGAAGUUAUUGACUCCCUCGAAGUUACAGAGAGCUUGCACAGAAACUCAAUGAUCCUUGCGGGUCCUUUCCAACUAUGAUUAACCUCUAUGAAAUUUGAGAGUAAAUAUUCACCAUUUAAUUUAGGUAAAAAUUAAUCCAAAUUAAUCCAAUCCAAGCGUGAGAGACCCAGAAGAUUUUGGGCCCACUGGUUCUACACACCAACAAGGAAACGAGGAACGUGGCUAUCUGAGAUUAUCAGUACUAUUAUUAUUGUUUUUCAGAUCAUUCUUCUGUUCUGGUGGCCUAUGCUAUAGUUUUGAUUUUGGGGGGAAAAGGAGCUGUGUGCUCUGAGAUCUGACACUGGGCUACCCAAAAGGAAAGCAAGACGAUCAGAGCAAAGCUCAGAGGCAUAAUCCAAGACAAGAUCAAUCAUCACAAGCCCCCCAGGUCUUUGUCCUUGUGCUACAUUUUUUUCACUCACAGGUGAUGACUCCGUAGAUAACUUUAGAUACAGAAUGGAUGCAAAAAUCUCAGACAAAACCCACAAACCCAAGUCUGAAUUACAAACCCACUGAUUAGCUUUGUGAAACUGUGUGAGAAGGCCUGGAAGUUCUCCCCUCCAGUAGCCACCCACAUCCCAGGGGAGUGCCUUCUGGUCUCAGGUCUGGGUUGGGGCGCAGAGUCCUCACUGAUGUUGCAGUUGUUGACCUUGCUAAGCCUUUCCUCUCAUUCUUCCUUCAGGCCUCUCCACCAGCUCCUGCAUUUAGCAGCCCCUCACAAAGCCUGCCAUCCCCCUUCCGUCACUUGCAGCUGCUGGGGGCUGAGGCUGCAAGCAGAAAGAACAUCAUUCAUCACAUGUACUUCGAGCAGGGCUUUCACAUUCCCAAACUAUGCAGCAGAGUUGAAGAGCACCUGGAAACUGGAUGAGCAGCAGCAGCAGCAGAAAAAC
rnacentral:lncRNA from 1 species